CAAAGGGCUCACGGAGGAUACCUAGGCACACAGAGGCGAUGAAGGACGUGGUUACCUGCGAUAAGUCUCGGGGAGUUGGAAGCACACUUUGAUCCGGGAAUUUCCGAAUGGGGCAACCCCUUGAACGACCAACUGAAUAUAUAGGUUGGUGCGAGCUAACCCAGCGAACUGAAACAUCUUAGUAGCUGGAGGAAGAGAAAGUAAAUAACGACUCCCUCAGUAGCGGCGAGCGAACGGGGAAUAGCCCAAACCGAUAGUCUUGACUAUCGGGGUUGUGGGACAGCAAUAUGGAUCAACAAUUCUAGAAGAAACGUUUGAAUGGCGUGCCAUAGAGGGUGAAAGCCCCGUAAUUGAAAGAUGAGUUGACCUAGCUGUAUCCCGAGUAGCACGGAGCACGUGGAAUUCCGUGUGAAUCUGCGAGGACCACCUCGUAAGGCUAAGUACUACUGUGUGACCGAUAGUGAAACAGUACCGCGAGGGAAAGGUGAAAAGAACCCCGGGAGGGGAGUGAAAUAGAACAUGAAACCGUGAGCUUACAAGCAAUGGGAGCCCGACUAAUCGGGUGACCGUGUGCCUGUUGAAGAAUGAGCCGGCGACUUAUAGGCACUGGCGGGUUAAACCGGAAAUGGUGGAGCCACAGCGAAAGCGAGUCUUAAUAGGGCGUUUGUCAGUGUUUAUAGACCCGAACCCUGGUGAUCUAACCAUGGCCAGGAUGAAGCUUGGGUGAUACCAAGUGGAGGUCCGAACCGACUGAAGUUGAAAAUUCAGCGGAUGAGCUGUGGUUAGGGGUGAAAUGCCAAUCGAACCAGGAGCUAGCUGGUUCUCCCCGAAAUACGUUGAGGCGUAGCGUCUAGUGCUCCAGCAGGGGGGUAAAGCAACCAUUUCGGUGCGGGCUGCGAAAGCGGUACCAAAUCGAUAUGAACUCUGAAUACCCUGUGUGUAACUAGGCAGUCAGACUGUGGGGGAUAAGCUCCAUAGUCAAGAGGGAAACAGCCCAGACCGCCAGCUAAGGUCCCAAAAUUAACGCUAAGUGAUAAAGGAGGUGGGAUUGCCCAGACAACCAGGAGGUUUGCCUAGAAGCAGCCAUCCUCAAAGGAGUGCGUAAUAGCUCACUGGUCGAGCGAUCCUGCGCCGAAAAUGAAUGGGGCUAAGCGUUAUACCGAAGCUGCGGAUAAAUUUAUUUAUGGUAGGGGAGCGUUCUAUGUUGGGUGAAGCGUUAGCGUAAGCGGACGUGGACGGCAUAGAAGUGAGAAUGUCGGCUUGAGUAGCGAAAACAUGGGUGAGAAUCCCAUGCCCCGAAACCCUAAGGGUUCCUCCGGCAGGCUCGUCCGCGGAGGGUUAGUCUGGACCUAAGGCGAGGCCGAAAGGCGUAGUCGAUGGAUAACAGGUCAAUAUUCCUGUACCAGUUAUGUUUUGGGAAGGGGGACGGAGAAGGCUAGCCAGGCCAGAUGUUGGUUACUGGUUCAAGCGUUCAAGGCUUUGAGAGAUGGAGAAAACAUCUUGAGCUAAGGCGUGAGUACGAGCUGCUACGGCAGCGAAGUUGGUGAUGUCAUGCUUCCAAGAAAAGCCCUAUACCCGUUAAGACAUAAAUGCCAGUACCCGAAACCGACACAGGUGGGGUGGUAGAGAAUACCGAGGGGCGCGAGAUAACUCUCUCUAAGGAACUCGGCAAAAUGGCCCCGUAACUUCGGGAGAAGGGGUGCCAGCGAGAGCUGGUCGCAGUGAAGAGGCGCAAGCGACUGUUUACCAAAAACACAGGUCUCCGCUAAGUCGCAAGACGAUGUAUGGGGGCUGACACCUGCCCAGUGCCGGAAGGUUAAGGAAGCUGGUUAGCUUUUAGCAAAGCUGGCGACUGAAGCCCCGGUGAACGGCGGCCGUAACUAUAACGGUCCUAAGGUAGCGAAAUUCCUUGUCGGGUAAGUUCCGACCCGCACGAAAGGUGUAACGAUUUGCGCGCUGUCUCGGAGAGAGGCUCGGCGAAAUAGAAUUGUCUGUGAAGAUGCGGACUACAUACACCCGGACAGAAAGACCCUAUGAAGCUUUACUGUAGUUUGAUAUUGUGCUCGGGCUCUAAUUGCGCAGAAUAGGUGGGAGACGUUGAAAUAGUACUUGUGGGUAUUAUUGAGUCAUCGGUGAGAUACCACUCUAUUAGAGCUAGGGUUCUAACGCUUACCCGUUAUCCGGGAAGCGGACAGUAUCUGAUGGGCAGUUUGACUGGGGCGGUCGCCUCCUAAAAGGUAACGGAGGCGCACAAAGGUUCCCUCAGGCUGGUUGGAAAUCAGUCGUUGAGUGCAAAAGCAGAAGGGAGCUUGACUGUGAGACCUACAAGUCGAACAGGGACGAAAGUCGGUUUUAGUGAUCCGACGGUUCUGCGUGGAAGGGCCGUCGCUCAACGGAUAAAAGUUACUCUAGGGAUAACAGGCUGAUCUCCCCCAAGAGUUCACAUCGACGGGGAGGUUUGGCACCUCGAUGUCGGCUCAUCGCAACCUGGGGCUGAAGUCGGUCCCAAGGGUUGGGCUGUUCGCCCAUUAAAGCGGUACGCGAGCUGGGUUCAGAACGUCGUGAGACAGUUCGGUCCAUAUCCGGUGUAUGCGCAGGAAUAUUGAGAGGAUUUCUCCCUAGUACGAGAGGACCGGGAGGAACGCACCUCUGGUGUGCCAGUUAUCGUGCCAACGGUAAACGCUGGGUAGCCAUGUGCGGAGUGGAUAACCGCUGAAAGCAUCUAAGUGGGAAGCCCACCUCAAGAUGAGUAUUGCCAUGGCUUAAGCCAGUAAGGUCACGGGAAGAACACCCGUUGAUAGGCUCUACGUGGAAGCUUGGUAACAAGUGCAGCGGAGGAGUACUAAUAGACCGAGGGCUUGACCA
rnacentral:rRNA from 1 species